AAAAACAAACAGCUAAUUUGUAAAAUUCCCCUCCAAUUUCUCUUCUCGUCCUCUUUGUCUCUUUCUUUCUUUCAGAGCGAGCUCCAGCUUGGAGGGGUUCAUGGAGUCUCUCUCUCUCUCCUCGCAAGCCACGGCCCAGUGGUCCUCAAGCUCCAGAUAAAAAUGAUAGAAAAAUUCACAACUGUUACUCUUCUCAGCUCUUGAAUUUCCGUGAGCUCAAAUAUUUUUUCUUUUGUGUUUUUUUGCGUGUUGUGGAGGAAAAGAAGCAUUUCUAGGGUUUUUGUGUGAAAAAGAAUGCCGGCGAACCGAUCGAAAUCUGAGAAGCACGAUGCGGCGGCGAAGCCGGUCCGGCGAGACCCGUACGAAGUGCUCGGUGUCUCCAAGAACUCCGCGGAUCAGGAAAUCAAAAGCGCUUAUCGAAGAAUGGCUCUCAAGUACCAUCCUGACAAGAAUGCAAAUGAUCCUAAAGCAGCUGAUAUGUUUAAGGAGGUCACCUUUUCCUAUAAUAUCUUGUCUGACCCAGACAAACGGCGUCAGUAUGACACAGCCGGUUUUGAGGCUGUUGAAUCAGAAAGCCAAGAAUUGGAGCUAGACCUUUCAAGUUUAGGAACUGUGAACACCAUGUUUGCUGCACUUUUUAGUAAACUUGGUGUGCCAAUCAAGACCACUGUAUCAGCAACAGUCUUAGAGGAGGCACUUAAUAAUUUGGUCACUGUUCUUCCACUACCAAUGGGGCAACCUAUAUCUAAGAAGGUUGAGAAGCAAUGUGCUCACUUCUAUUCUGUCAGGAUAACAGAAGAGGAAGCACGAUCUGGAUUUGUAUGUCGAGUGCAAUCGUCUGACAAAAGCAAGUUCAAGUUGUUGUAUUUUGAUCGGGAAGAGAAUAACGGCUUAAGCCUAGCGCUGCAGGAGGACAGUGCCAAAACAGGGAAGGUCACAUCUGCUGGAAUGUACUUUCUUGGUUUUCCUGUUUAUCGGUUGGAUCAAACAAUGAAUUCGGUGGCUGCUUCAAAAGAUCCAGAUGCUGCCUUCUUCAAAAAGUUGGAUGGAUUUCAGCCAUGUGAAAUAACUGAAUUGAAGGCUGGCGACCAUGUCUUUGCUGUUUAUGGUGACAACUUUUUUAGAAGUGCAAGCUACACAAUAGAGGCUCUCUGUGCUGCACCUUUUAAAGAAGAAAAGGAGUAUCUUAGGGCUGUAGAAACUCAAAUUCUAACAAAAAGAGUGGAAAUAUCAAAGUUUGAAACUGAAUACCGAGAGGUUUUGGCACAAUUUACAGAGAUGACCAAUAGAUAUGCACAGGAAAUGCAAGCAAUUGAUGAGCUUCUUAAGCAACGGAAUGAAAUACAUGCAUCGUACACAAGUGCUCCUCCAAUGAAGCGGAGUAGGAGCAAGAGCAGAGGUUCCUUCAAGGAGGCCAAAGAAGAUGGCCCAGUGAAAGACAAGAAAUCUACAAUGAGGGAUCGGCCUAAGAAGAAGAAAUGGUACAAUAUCCACUUGAAGGUUGAAAAGAGAAAACCUUGCUGAAGAGGAAAUUUUGUGACCUGGUUUACAAACACCACAAUCUAUUGGCUUGAAUCAAGAUUUCAGUAACAUGACCUGCUUAGAACUAUAAUGCAUGGUGGCUGGGCUCUUGUAAUCCAAACGUGUUCCAAACUCAUACUGGUCGAAUGAUCCUACCUGCAAGAUACCAAUGGCCGGUUUGGAGGGAGGGGGAGAGAAAGGAAGUAGAGUAGAGUUAGUUGGAAAUUAAGCCUACUCACAAUUUUUGGCCAACUCUAUUCUAUUUCACCUUCAUUCAAACUGGCUAUAAAGCUUCUCUCUCUAGAAGGCUAGAAACUACAGUUUUGUCGGUAAUAUACUCAGUUCUGCUCUGUGCACAAAUUUGGAAUUUCUCAAGAAAUUGGCCAUUAUGUUGUUGGAAUCAAAGGCACAAGCCUCCUGCAAUGUCUCAAAUUUUUGCAAAAUUUAUGGCCAGAAAACAUCAAAAUAUGACAGUUUUUGUUGCAUUGUAUCUUUUUUCCUCAACUUAUUAUGAGUGGGGGAAAGGAGAAUUCUCCUCAUAAGGGAGAUUGAACUGUGUCAUAUUGAAAUAUAAAACUUUUGAUAUGAUCUCAAAUUAGUCUUUUA